CGGCCGUGCUGGCAUGGCCGCGGAUGCAGGCCGCCGGCAGUGGCCUGUGGCCAGCCGCGCAGCGGCGGUCGCCGCCGCACGCCCGAC
rnacentral:tRNA from 1 species